GACCAGGCAAAUGUCCCCACAAGGCCAGAACUCCUAUAUUCCUAUACUUAUGAGGAAGUUUGGUCCCUGCCAAGAUGUAAAAACAUGCCCACACACAUGCACACUUGUGUGCGUGUGCACACACGCUCACACGCUCACACACACACACACACACACACACACACACACACACACACACACACAUACACACAAGCACACUGAGAGCAGAAUGAGGCAGAAUAAACUGGUUCUGUGGCUGAACAUGUGGUGGAGUAACGAUGGGUUUUAUUUCAGUCUGUAGACGAGAGGCAUCCAGAAGGUUACAGACAUACUGGGAAGCACACUCAGAGGUUUGUGUAGAGAGUGUGUAUGACUGUCCUGCUUUGGUCUUCCAAACCCUUUAUGAUUAUAACCAUCAAGCAGGAGUUACAUUCUUUAAUUCAACAUGUAUUUAAAUUCCUUUAAUUUUAUUCACUAAUGUUUAUUUUGUUUUGUUGUUUCAAUUCAGCCUUCACUAAUAUUCUCUCUCGCUCCUCUUUUCCUUUUCCCCUAUAAUUGAUGUUAACCCUCUUACAUAAGCCAGUUUGUUUGGUUUUGCUUCCAGGCUCUGAUCUCAGAUCGCUCCUAAUGACUGUGGGUAUUAUUUUUAUACCAGUAAAGACGUCAGGCUGCACCGCUGCCCCUGCCAACAGUGGGCCCUGUAUCGGGUGAUGCCUUACCGGCACCAACCAGUCAUGGAAGGCACGGAGAGGAAUCGAGUGUCAGGAUGGAAACGUGCACUUAGUUUCCCUGUGCUCUAUUUUUGGAUUUUUGAACAUUUUUAAAAAAUGUUUUAUGGAACCUGUGGAGUGACUUAGUAUUUUUAUCACUCAGCUGUGUGUAAUAGGGAGGUGUGUGUGUGUGUGUGUGUGUGUGUAUGUGUUAGCAGCAGACUACAAAGUGAAACCUUCUUAUACAAGAUAAAUACUACAUCACUGACAUCAUUAAAAACAUAUGACUUUACUAGAUAUUUCACUUAGCAACAGAUACUCACAUGAGACCUAGCAGGGUUAACAUAAGGUGGAAAUUACAUAGUUUGUGUGUGUGUGUGUGUGUGUGUGUGUGUGUGUGUGCGUGCGUGCGUGCAUGUGCGUGCGUGUGUGUGUGUGUGUCUUUCCUGGCAUUGCUUUGAAAGAUUCUUUCAAGUCAGAACCUCAAUACUUCAUAGCUGAAUUCUGGUUUGGACGGCAGAAGGUUGGACCACAGUCAGCUGGUUGCUGAUCGGAUGUAUCAGAUUUGAGCUCCCAGUCAGAUUUGAACUCUCUAGUUCAAACCAGAUGCAGAAAGGCUGAUAGUUAUGAAUGAGCAUUUAGUAUUUAUGCAUGAAUUUAGAAUUGAAACUUUUUUCCUUUCAGUUAACAAAUAACCAUUAUAGCAUGUAUAUGAACUUACAGUAUUCUCUAGUCUUUCAGGUUACAAAUCCUGAAAUAUGAUUCUCUUCGUACUUUAUAUCUCUGCAUGUUUAGCUUUCUGCACCUUCUUCAACUCCUUAUGUAUAUGAGGGUCUGAUAAUAUAAAUGUAAAUUAAGUAACAUUAUACUGAGUCCGAGUUGAAUGGCUUCCUCACAGUCCACUAAUCUCACACUUUGAGUAGUGUGGGAGGAGUGUGAGAGACUUAGUGCUGUUUGUAUACCGGUAGCACCAGCAUGUGGUCAGAAAGAGUAAUACAUACUUUCUCCCAUACUUUCCUUCACCAGUGAUAAGCUAAUAGAACAACAACAUUAUGGAUGUUCUCUCCUGCCAUAUUCAGGGCUGGAUUGAUAAUGUUCAGAUCUACAGCCCGUUACAUAUUACUUUUCUUUCUUUUCUUUCUUAACCAUUUGCUUACCUAGUACUAACUCUGAGGGAUGAACCAUUUCAUAUAUUGCUUCUUAGUCUAGAAAUCCCAAAUCCCAUGAAACAGAUGUAAAUUAGGCGGCGUAAGUUAGUUUUAAUAUGUUUGUCUGCUGAUGGUCAGCUGAUAUCAGAGCUGUCAAUCAGUAACUCUUGGCAAGUUCAGAGCUAUGGAAACCUGCCUCUAAUAUUUAGGACAGACACUGGGGAAAUCAGUGCAAAUUGUGACACAGAUCUUUUUUUAUUUAUUCAUUGCAAUAAUCAAUUACACAUUCCAAAGUUUGGUGAAGCUAUGCCAAAAUGGCUGGAUUCUGAUAUGGACUUAGUGAGAUAGUAAAGAUGAUGUGCGUCUCCAAACGAUUAGCCCAAUUACUGAGAUGGAGAUGUCCCAAUGAUGUAUAAAGACGAAACAUUAUUCUUGCUCAGUCUAAAGAAGCAACAUAUUCCAGCACUGAACAGCCCCAAGUUGGAGGUGAUAGAGAAGUCUAAAGCAAGAGCUACCCCUUUAUUCACUGAUGCAGUAAAUCUCAAGUUCCAGCUGUUGAACAGAUGGGAUAUUCUUAUUAGUUCAUUCUUUUAUUUAUUUAACACAGGCAAAUAAUACAACCUAAUCACACACACCUCUACACACAUCAGACUGGUCUGUUAUUAUAAGCAGGUAUUCUGCUGUUUAUGAAGAGCAUUAAAAUUAAUGGGGCUCAUUAAUACAUUCCUUUUUUUUUCUUUCUUUUUUUUUUGCAUCCAAAUGCUGCACAGCCAACCAUUGAUCUACCUUGAUGUAUAAAAGUUAUUUAUGUAUUUAUUUAUUUUAUAACAUUAACAUUAUACUUAUUGGUUUUUGGCAUCGAAAGAGCAUAGUCAUACAUACAAUAACAUUUAUAAACAUUUAUAAACACCACCCCACCCCACCCUCAAUAUUGAACAUUCAGGGGAAAAAUAAAUAAAUAAUAAAAAUAAUUAUAUAUAAGAGGUACAUUAUUUUUUUUUAUAGGCGCUGUCAUUUUAUUUAUCAAUUUCACUCAUUAAUUUCAGCCUCAUCACUUUUCAGGAAUUGCAUAAAAGUGCCCAUCUUUCUGUCCCUGUAGGGGGUCGAAUGAGUUUCUAUGAAGAUUGCCCAUUCGAGGAAAAACUUAUCUAGCCUCUUCCUGGAUAUAUCCAUCCAUCCAUCCAUCCAUCCAUCCAUCCAUCUACUACCGCUUACUCCUUUUCAGGGUCACGGGGAACCUGGAGCCUAUCCCAUCUUCCUGGAUAUAUCAUAUAAUAAAAUGCUUUGCUGAAUGCAAUUGUUUG